rnacentral:rRNA from 1 species
CCGAGGCCGAUAGGCGUAGGUGAUGGAAAGACAGGUUAAUAUUCCUGCACCAUCAUACGGUCGUCGAAGCUAGAGGGGACGGAGAAGGACAGGUCAGCCACCGUGUGGUUGUGGUGGUUCAAGCCGGUAGAUGGGAGUUCUAGGACGCGUAGGCGACAAACGGAGCUCUGCCAACAUCGAGAAGCGAUGAGGAGGCAGCGUCCCUCGGGACGCAGCCGCAACUGACUGAUUCCAUGCUUCCAAGAAAAGCCUCGAGUGGAGACCGUGUGGUGACCGUACCGGAAACCGACACAGGUGGGUGGGGAGAAUAUCCCAAGGCGCUUGAGAGAACCCAGGUUAAGGAACUCGGCAAAUUGACACCGUAACUUCGGGAGAAGGUGUGCCCUCGUUAGGUGAAGCGGCUUGCCCGUGGAGCUGAAGAGGGUUGCAGAGAAAUGGGGGUAGCGAC